rnacentral:rRNA from 1 species
AACAAGUCUCCGUAGGUGAACCUGCGG